AUGCCCUUUCCCCUCACGACCGAAGCAGGGGGCGGCGCAGAGAGCAGAGCCUCCCUGAAGGAUGCCCUGAGGGGCGGCGAGGCGGAGGGCGAGGACAAAGGGCUGCAGGAUAGAUCCAGCCCGCGCGGGCUGAGAUCACGAUGGGGAGGAGGAGGUGUACGACAGCGGCCGGAGUGGUCCGCCGUCGGUGUGGCAAGGAGGAUGGAGCUAGGCGGAGGAGGAGCUAGGCGGAGGAGGAGCCGGGAGAGCCGGGCUCUCGUGACUUGUCUCCAUCGAAAUGUUCAUAAAGGGUUGUUUGAAAGGAGUUUUUCAAAGGAAGACCUGGAUAAAGCUGCUUACAUAUUGGGCAUCAAGAUCUAUAGAGAUAGAUCAAGACGCCUGAUGAUACUUUCAAAGAACGCACACCUUGACAUGUUUUUGAAAGAGUUCAAAAUAGAUCAGCAAAGAAGGAGUUCUUGGCAGUGUUACAAGGUGUGA
rnacentral:rRNA from 1 species